CAACUAUCGCGAGAGGUACCCAAGGUCGAACCAGGCGGUGGCGUCGCUUUGAUGCUGGCAAAACUUCCAGCGCUGGGGUAAGAACGUUCUGACUACGGCGGCCGUUAGGGGCAAAGGGUCAGUUUUAGUUGUGAUCCUGUUGGAAUAUUCCAUUAUUAAUGACAUUUGUUGACAGAGAUGGCAUCCCUAGACUCAAAUCACCCUGAUAUGACCUUUGUAGACCCACAUGGAACUCAUCGAACUAUACACAAUGUUUCAUUUUCAGACUGCCAAAAUGGAUUAGGCAUUAAAAUUAUUGGAGGCUGUCAAGAUCAAUCCAAAGAAGAGUAUGGAAUUUUCAUAAAGGAGAUAUUACCAGAGAGGAUAGCUACUACAGAUAAUCAAAUGUGUAUUGGAGAUUUGAUUUUAGAAUU
rnacentral:lncRNA from 1 species